rnacentral:rRNA from 1 species
GAUGAACGCUGGCGGCGUGCCUAAUACAUGCAAGUCGAGCGAACGGACGAGAAGCUUGCUUCUCUGAUGUUAGCGGCGGACGGGUGAGUAACACGUGGAUAACCUACCUAUAAGACUGGGAUAACUUCGGGAAACCGGAGCUAAUACCGGAUAAUAUUUUGAACCGCAUGGUUCAAAAGUGAAAGACGGUCUUGCUGUCACCUAUAGAUGGAUCCGCGCUGCAUUAGCUAGUUGGUAAGGUAACGGCUUACCAAGGCAACGAUGCAUAGCCGACCUGAGAGGGUGAUCGGCCACACUGGAACUGAGACACGGUCCAGACUCCUACGGGAGGCAGCAGUAGGGAAUCUUCCGCAAUGGGCGAAAGCCGGACGGAGCAACGCCGCGUGAGUGAUGAAGGUCUUCGGAUCGUAAAACUCUGUUAUUAGGGAAGAACAUAUGUGUAAGUAACUGUGCACAUCUUGACGGUACCUAAUCAGAAAGCCACGGCUAACUACGUGCCAGCAGCCGCGGUAAUACGUAGGUGGCAAGCGUUAUCCGGAAUUAUUGGGCGUAAAGCGCGCGUAGGCGGUUUUUUAAGUCUGAUGUGAAAGCCCACGGCUCAACCGUGGAGGGUCAUUGGAAACUGGAAAACUUGAGUGCAGAAGAGGAAAGUGGAAUUCCAUGUGUAGCGGUGAAAUGCGCAGAGAUAUGGAGGAACACCAGUGGCGAAGGCGACUUUCUGGUCUGUAACUGACGCUGAUGUGCGAAAGCGUGGGGAUCAAACAGGAUUAGAUACCCUGGUAGUCCACGCCGUAAACGAUGAGUGCUAAGUGUUAGGGGGUUUCCGCCCCUUAGUGCUGCAGCUAACGCAUUAAGCACUCCGCCUGGGGAGUACGACCGCAAGGUUGAAACUCAAAGGAAUUGACGGGGACCCGCACAAGCGGUGGAGCAUGUGGUUUAAUUCGAAGCAACGCGAAGAACCUUACCAAAUCUUGACAUCCUUUGACAACUCUAGAGAUAGAGCUUUCCCCUUCGGGGGACAAAGUGACAGGUGGUGCAUGGUUGUCGUCAGCUCGUGUCGUGAGAUGUUGGGUUAAGUCCCGCAACGAGCGCAACCCUUAAGCUUAGUUGCCAUCAUUAAGUUGGGCACUCUAAGUUGACUGCCGGUGACAAACCGGAGGAAGGUGGGGAUGACGUCAAAUCAUCAUGCCCCUUAUGAUUUGGGCUACACACGUGCUACAAUGGACAAUACAAAGGGCAGCGAAACCGCGAGGUCAAGCAAAUCCCAUAAAGUUGUUCUCAGUUCGGAUUGUAGUCUGCAACUCGACUACAUGAAGCUGGAAUCGCUAGUAAUCGUAGAUCAGCAUGCUACGGUGAAUACGUUCCCGGGUCU